CCCUUAGAUGUCCGGGGCCGCACGCGCGCUACACUGAAGGAAUCAGCGUGGCUUUCUCCCUGACCCGAAAGGGUUGGGAAACCCGUUGAAUCUCCUUCGUGAUAGGGAUUGGGGCUUGAAAUUGUUCCCCAUGAACGAGGAAUUCCCAGUAAGCGCGAGUCAUAAGCUCGCGUUGAUUACGUCCCUGCCCUUUGUACACACCGCCCGUCGCACCUACCGAUUGGAUGGUCCGGUGAAGCCUCGGGAUUGUGGUUCUUGCCGCUUUAUUGUGGCGUGACCGCGAGAACUUGUCUAAACCUUAUCAUCUAGAGGAAGGUGAAGUCGUAACA
rnacentral:rRNA from 1 species